UACAUAGGUCCCAAGCGUUGUUCGGAUUCACUGGGCGUAAAGGGUGCGUAGGUGGCCAGGUAAGUUCGGUGUGAAAGCUCGGAGCUUAACUCCGAAAUGGCAUUGAAUACUAUCUGGCUAGAGGGUCGGAGGGGAGACUGGAAUUCUCGGUGUAGCAGUGAAAUGCGUAGAUAUCGAGAGGAACACCUGCGGCGAAGGCGGGUUGCUGGGCUGACACUGACGCUGAAGUGCGAAAGCUAGGGGAGCGAACGGG
rnacentral:rRNA from 1 species